CCGCGCCACCUUGAGUCCGUCCGUCGUCAUUUGAUUGAUGCUGGUUUUAGUGGGCAGUUUCUUCUGUUGGUUCAGCUUGAGUUACAGGAGUCUGGUGUGUAGAGUCAUCCUUCACUCCACAUUGGUUUAUCACAGAGCCUCCAGCUGGUCCAGACCACCACGAUGUCCUGCCUGAACGACAUCUAACUGCCUUCAAAGUUUCCGCUCACUCCAUCUCAAUAUAUACUCCACAGAAUAGAACAAUCCUGACAGUUAAGAACUUAUAACUUCCUCCUACCUAUCCGGAGCCGUCUGGAGCAUGCGCCAUGUUGCCCCUUCUCUUUUCGUGCCUACGAAUCCCGCGGGUCGGGACAGGUGGCGCCCAGCGUGGGGCACGAAAAAGAACGAAGGAACCGCUGAAGGACCAGCUGUGGUGAGCCGGCAAGUAAGGGUAGGUAGCUGGGAAUCAUGGGCAAUUCAAUGUCCAAGGGGCGGUUAGUUAUUUCCCUGGAAGCUCUCCUAAAAUAGUUUGGGGUUCCUCUUAGUAAGAAAAAUUCUUAAAAGAUUUGUAGAGACCCUUAGUAUCACUAGUAAGUGGUUUCUGGAGCAGGGUCAGGUCGACAGUGCCAAUUGGAAUAAGGCAAUAGGAGAUAGAGGAGGAGCCGACAUUCAAUUAACAAAGGUCAUGCGAGGGUCGACAGAACCAUAUGCGGAGUUCCUAGCAAAACUGAUGACUGCAGCUGGCGGAUUCUAGGGAACACUGAUGCCUCCCUACCGAUAGUUAAACAGCUUGCAUUUUGAAAAUGCUAAUAAGUGGUGUUAGGAAGCUAUCAGACCCUGGAAAGCUCGGGCUAGUUUGUAUGAGUAUGUGAGACUUUGUUAGGAUAUUUGUGUAUGUAAUAAUCGUUCAUGUCUGGACUGGUGCCCUUUUGCCCUGGUGGGCCAGGGUGAGGUGAAAUUAUAUAAUGGCACUUACUCUGCAAACCGUACCUUUGAACAAUCCGUUAGUGUCCAGAAUAAUGGGUCGGAGAGUUUGUCUGCUGCUGUCUGUUUGUCCCCUCCCUUCUUUCUUGUCCUCUCCAGUAAUGCAGGAAAUGCAACUGUGUUGAACUGUUCAGCGGAGACCUGCGCCCUCUCUGCCUGCUGGGCCUGGAGUGCGGAGAGGGUGGUGAUGGUUCGUCUGCCUUCUACUUUAAUCAUGCCCAUGAUUGUUUCUGCACACCUUUCCCCUGUUCUACCUAAGAGGAGACGUGAUUUUAGCAUCACUGCAGCUAUUGUCGCCAUUUCAAUAGCGGUGGCCGCGGCUGUGGUUGCUGCCGCCGUUGCUGUCACUCAAGCUGCUGCAAAUAUGGACACUAUGGACAAUUUAGCUGCCGGUGUUGCUUCUGCGUUGUCAACACAGUAAGAUAUGAAUGGACAUUUGCGGAAUGGACUUUUCGUGCUUGGUCAGCAGAUAGCUCUAAUGUAAAAAGGGAUAGACACACUUUUGUUAACUGCUCACAUACCUUGUAACCCUCUGUACCAUUUUAUUUGUGUUACCCCUGUUACGGGUGAGGGUCUCAUUGCCUGGUUUAGAGGACUCCUCCCAGAGUUGCAAGCUUGGGGCAGGGUGGUAGCCUUAGCUCUUGGCUUUUUGCUGUUUGUACAUUCGGCAUAUGGUUUCUCUGUCGGCUACGGAAGCGAAACAAAGAACAUGCUAUUGCGGUCAGGCAAGCACUUGGCACCAUGGUACUUGACCAGGACUCCCCAGUGGCACCUGGAUGGGUCAACUUAGUCCUAGAGAACCUGUGAGACAAAGACGGGUAAGAGCGUAGCCCGUCCAGACCAAACUAAGACAGCGGUCCGGACCAAGUGCACCGGACUAGCAAUGACGGGUAAGACUGGUCACGGGAUGUGCCAACCUAAGACAGGCCAGGUGUCUCAUUUAAAAGAAAAAAGGGGGAGAUGUCCGGAGCCGUCCGGAGCAUGCGCCGUGUUGCGUAUGUAUGCCAUGAGUUAAGUUUCGCUUUACCGUUUCGCUUUCGGAGAACCACAGGUUUUUCCUGUAAAUCACAUGAGACUGGGAGGUACGGGGGGAGGAGCUACGAGGGUAUAAGAGGAGAACACGGGAGAGAGGGAGAGAGAAGAGAGAUUUAAGAGGAGACCCACGAGAGAGGAGAGUGCUGCGAGAGGAGCAGAGAGAAGGCCAGGGAAGUAAGAAAGACAGGGAAAAGAAAGACAUGGAAAAGUAAGAGAAGGAAAAGGAAAAAUAAAGAAGCAUGCGCUAGCGUCAAGUUGUCUCAAGCCCCUCAUUUCAUCCUCAGCCCUUCUCUUUUCGUGCCUAU